rnacentral:rRNA from 1 species
UACGAAGGGGGCUAGCGUUGUUCGGAAUCACUGGGCGUAAAGCGCACGUAGGCGGAUCUUUAAGUCAGGGGUGAAAUCCCGAGGCUACAACCUCGGAACUGCCUUUGAUACUGGGGAUCUCGAGUCCGGGAGAGGUGAGUGGAACUGCGAGUGUAGAGGUGAAAUUCGUAGAUAUUCGCAAGAACACCAGUGGCGAAGGCGGCUCACUGGCCCGGAACUGACGCUGAGGUGCGAAAGCGUGGGGAGCAAACAGG